CAGCCCUUAGGGAGGACGGGAGCUCCUGCUCUCUCAGGAUCCAGUGCGUAGCCUGUUGGAUCCUGUGGAGGACUAGGAACAUGAAUUCAAGGACAGGGAAGGGGCAAGAUUCAGUAUAUGAACAAAAAUGCUUUUCAUGGGCAGCAGAAGGGACAGCUGAGCUUGUCGGGGCCUUGUCAUCAAGGUAGCUUUACCCAGCACAGGUGUGAGUCCAGAUAAAGCUGCAUAUUAUCCAAGAUGCAAUGGAGCUGGAUGAGGCACAGGUAAAGGUACACUGGGGCUGUAGAAGAAUAAUAGAAAAAUGAUGGAAAACCUUUUGGUGCCUGGGAGUAGGAGAGGUCCAGUGCCCAGGACCACGUGUGGAGUCAAGCUGAUCAUCAAGGGAGUCAACUCCACCAUCAGCCCACCACUGGAAGAAUGUGGAACCAUGGCUCACAGAAGGGGAUCACAGCAGUAGCUCACAGGAGAGGACUACAGCUCCAGUCUAUGGCUAUUUUGCCUGGAUGCAUGUAAGUGC